rnacentral:rRNA from 1 species
AUUGAACGCUGGCGGCAGGCCUAACACAUGCAAGUCGAACGAGUGGCGGACGGGUGAGUAAUGUCUGGGAAACUGCCCGAUGGAGGGGGAUAACUACUGGAAACGGUAGCUAAUACCGCAUACCAUCGGAUGUGCCGAGAUGGGAUGAGCUAGUAGGUGGGGUAACGGCUCACCUAGGCGACGAACCCUAGCUGGUCUGAGAGGAUGACCAGCCACACUGGAACUGAGACCCGGUCCAGACUCCUACGGGAGGCAGCAGUGGGGAUUAUUGCACAAUGGGCGCAAGCCUGAUUCAUCCAUGCCGCGUGUAUGAAGAAGGCCUUCGGGUUGUAAAGUACUUUCAGCGUGGAGGCGUUACCCGCAGAAGAAGCACCGGCUAACUCCGUGCCAGCAGCCGCGGUAAUUC